rnacentral:rRNA from 1 species
CUAAAAAUCUAGCCUUCCAUAAUUUCAUCACCAUUAAUCUCACCACCAAACAAAAUAUUUUACCAAUUCAGUAAAGAAGAUUAAAAAACUUUUAAGAGCUAUAUUCUAGUACCGCAAGGGAAAAAUGAAAUAAAAAUGAAAAUUUUUAAGCAUAAAAUAGUAGAGACCUAACCUCGUACCUUUUGCAUCAUGGUUUAGCUAGUCUAACCGGGCAAAAUGAACCUUUAAGUCUGACUUCCCGAAACUAAGUGAGCUACUUUAGGGCCGCUAAACGAGCUGACCCUUCUAUGUUGCAAAAUAGUGGGAAGACCCUAAAAUAGAGGUGAUAAACCUAACGAACUUAGUUAUAGCUGGUUUCUCAAAAAAAGAAUUUUAGUCCAACCUAAAGUAAUAUAAAUUUAAAUAAAUCCCACCUACCCUUUAGAGUAAUUCAAAUAAGGUACAGCCUAUUUGAUACAGGAUUCAACCUUCACCAACGGGUAACAUUUUUCUGUAUUUAUAAGUAGGCCUUAUAGCAGCCACCUUUCAAAAAGCGUCAAAGCUUAACACUUUAAAUCCAACCCAUUAUAUUGACCCCUAAAACCCUACUGAGAACUUCUAUAAGCUUAUAGAAAUUUUUAUGCUAAAACUAGUAACAAGAGUUUAAUGUCCUCUCUUUAAUGUCAGUAUAUGCCAGAAAGAAUCAACCUCCGGCAAUUAACAAACCUAAAUUACAGUAGUAACUUUACCAGAAAACCCCACUUUUAUAGCUGUUAACCUAACACAAGCACAUUUCAAGAAAGAUUAAAAGAAAGAGAAGGAACUCGGCAAAUACAAAUCCCGCCUGUUUACCAAAAACAUCGCCUCUUGACCACAUAAGAGGUCCCGCCUGCCCAGUGACUCUGUUCAACGGCCGCGGUAUCCUAACCGCGCAAAGGUAGCGUAAUCACUUGUCUUCUAAAUUAAGACUAGUAUGAAAGGCAUCACGAGGAUUAAACUGUCUUCUAAAUUAAGACUAGUAUGAAAGGCAUCACGAGGAUUAAACUGUCUCCUCUCUCAAUUCAGUGAACCUAUCCUCCCCGUGAAGAGACGGGGAUAUAAAAAUAAGACGAGAAGACCCUAUGGAGCUUUAAACAUAUAACACCUGCUUUAAUUUACCCUACCCACAGCACAGUGAUUAUAUGUUUUUGGUUGGGGUGACCGCGGAGAAAAAACAACCCUCCAUGAUGAAACUUCCCUAAACAAUAAGCCACAACUUUAUGUAUUGACAAAUUAACAUUCAUUGACCCAAUAUAUUGAUUAACGAACCAAGUUACCCUAGGGAUAACAGCGCAAUCCACUUCGAGAGCUCCUAUCGACAAGUGGGCUUACGACCUCGAUGUUGGAUCGGGAUACCCAAGUGGUGUAGCCGCUACUAAAGGUUCGUUUGUUCAACGAUUAAAACCCCACGUGAUCUGAGUUCAGACCGGAGUAAUCCAGGUCAGUUUCUAUCUAUUAACAGCUUCUUUUAGUACGAAAGGACCAAAAAAGCAUGGUCAAUACUCUAAGCAAACCAUAAUUCUUAAUUUUAGACCUCAACUCAAAAAAUUAUUAACUUACCCCGCCCAUCAAGAAAAGAAUA